rnacentral:rRNA from 1 species
UACGUAGGGGGCAAGCGUUGUCCGGAAUCAUUGGGCGUAAAGAGCGUGUAGGCGGCCAGAAAAGUCCGCUGUGAAAACUCGAGGCUCAACCUCGAGACGUCGGUUGAAACCGUUUGGCUAGAGUCCGGAAGAGGAGAGUGGAAUUCCCGGUGUAGCGGUGAAAUGCGCAGAUAUCGGGAAGAACACCCGUGGCGAAGGCGGCUCUCUGGGACGGUACUGACGCUGAGACGCGAAAGCGUGGGGAGCGAACAGG